UGGAAGUAAAAGUCGUAACAAGGUUUCCGUAGGUGAACCUGCGGAAGGAUCAUUCACAAGAUUAUAUUUUAUAUUACUUUGUGGAACAUUUGGUUGAAUUUACAUGUUUUAUUACAAAAAAUUAAUUAUAAUUAAAAAAAUAAUUUUAAGAAAACCUCCAACAACGGAUCUCUUGGUUCCCAGAUCGAUGAAGAGCGCAGCGAAUUGCGAAAUGUGAUGUGUAUUGCAGUGAAUCAUCAAUUCUUGAACGCACAUGGCACCCCUUUUAGGGGUAUGCUUGUAUGAGGGUGUUUAAUAUGAAAUUGCUUUGGCUUUUUUUAAAUAAAUGGUUUUUCAAAUUGUUACUAAUAGACGAAAGAAUCAGUGCAACAAGCUGUGUUGAAUCUUUCAUUAAAUCUUUUAGUUAACUACUUUAACUAUUUGCACCUCAUAUCAAGCAAGACUACCCGCUGAACUUAAGCAUAUCAAUAAGCGGAGGAA
rnacentral:sRNA from 1 species